UCUUUCUGUUUUAUUACUUAGGGUGGUCUGGGUGUAGGGGCACAUGGCAUCAUCUCUCUGAGUUGCUUUUGCAUUGGUGUGCUUUUAAAUAGUUUCACCUUUCUUUACUUCACUUUCUAUCGGAGGCUGCUGAAUAACAAUGUUGAUGGUUAAGUGAUAUGCGUCUAUCUUUCAUAGGCUUGUUGCGGUCCUAGUGCCACUGGUGGGAAAAGUUCCAGUAACAAAAUGGCUAG
rnacentral:misc_RNA from 1 species